GUGCUCGCUUCAACAGCACAUACACUAAAAUUGGAACGAUACAGAGAAGAUUAGCAUGGUCCCUGCAGAAGGAGGACACACCAAUUCAUGAAGCAUUCCAUAUUUUU
ensembl:snRNA U6 U6 spliceosomal RNA